AGCGAACGCUGGCGGCAGGCUUAACACAUGCAAGUCGAGCGGGCACUUCGGUGUCAGCGGCAGACGGGUGAGUAACACGUGGGAACGUACCCUUUGGUUCGGAAUAACGCUGGGAAACUAGCGCUAAUACCGGAUACGCCCUUUUGGGGAAAGGCUUGCUGCCGAAGGAUCGGCCCGCGUCUGAUUAGCUAGUUGGUGGGGUAAUGGCCUACCAAGGCGACGAUCAGUAGCUGGUCUGAGAGGAUGAUCAGCCACACUGGGACUGAGACACGGCCCAGACUCCUACGGGAGGCAGCAGUGGGGAAUAUUGGACAAUGGGCGCAAGCCUGAUCCAGCCAUGCCGCGUGAGUGAUGAAGGCCUUAGGGUUGUAAAGCUCUUUUGUCCGGGACGAUAAUGACGGUACCGGAAGAAUAAGCCCCGGUUAACUUCGUG
rnacentral:rRNA from 1 species